rnacentral:rRNA from 1 species
CCUACGGGGGGCAGCAGUGGGGAAUAUUGCACAAUGGGGGAAACCCUGAUGCAGCAACGCCGCGUGAGCGAUGAAGGCCUUCGGGUCGUAAAGCUCUGUCCUAAGGGAAGAAUAUUGACGGUACCUUAGGAGGAAGCCCCGGCUAACUACGUGCCAGGAGCCGCGGUAAUACGUAGGGGGCUAGCGUUAUCCGGAAUUACUGGGCGUAAAGGGUCCGUAGGCGGCCCUUCAAGUCAGAGGGGAAGUGCUACGGCUCAACCGUAGUAAGUCUUUGAAACUGUGGGGCUUGUGUGCAGGAGAGGGGAGUGGAAUUCACAGAGCAGCGGUGAAGUGGGCAGAUAUGAGGAGGAACACCAGUUGCGAAGGCGGCACUCUGGACUGUAACUGACGCUGAGGCACGAAAGCGUGGGGGGCGAACAGGAUUAGAGACCGCGGUAAUC